CGGUAAUUCCAGCUCCAAUAGCGUAUACUAAAGUUGUUGCAGUUAAAAAGCUCGUAGUUGGAUUUCUGCGGGGACGGAGCGGCCGGUCGCAACUUGCGACUCGAGCUAGCGCUUUCCCCGCAUCCUGCCGCGAACCGUGCUACCAUUAGUUUGGUGGCGCCGGGGAUCGGCUCGAUUACUUUGAGAAAAAUAGAGUGUUCAAAGCAGGCCACACGCCUUGAAUAAGUUAGCAUGGAAUAAUGACUAAGGACUUUGGUUCUUUUCGUUGGUGUUCGGGACUGAAGUAAUGAUUGAUAGGGACAGUUGGGGCGGUCCGUAUUCCAAAGCGAGAGGUGAAAUUCUUAGACCUUCGGAAGACGAACAGCUGCGAAAGCGUUCCGCAAGGAUGUUCCCUUUGAUCAAGAACGAAAGUUGGGGGAUCGAAGACGAUCAGAUACCGUCGUAGUCUCAACUAUAAACUAUACCAGCUAGGGAUCGGCCAACGUUUAAUUUAUCGACUUGGUCGGCACCUUAUGAGAAAUCAAAGCAUCUGGGUUCCGGGGGGAGUAUGGUCGCAAGGCUGAAACUUAAAGGAAUUGACGGAAGGGCACCACCAGCCGUGGAGCCUGUGGCUUAAUUUGACUCAACACGGGAAAACUUACCAGGUCCAGACAUAGGAAGGAUUGACAGAUUGAUAGCUCUUUCUUGAUUCUGUGGGUGGUGGUGCAUGGCCGUUUUUAGUCGGUGGAUGUGAUCUGUCUGCUUAAUUGCGUUAACGGACGAGACCCCAGCCUGCUAAAUAGCGCGGCCGAGCUUUGCUCGGUGCGAGCUUCUUAGAGGGACCAUGAUGCGCGAUAGCACAAGGAAGUUUGGGGCAACAACAGGUCUGUGGUGCCCUUAGAUGUUCUGGGCCGCACACGGGCUACACUGGCGCCUGCAACGAGCAUAUCAGCUGGCCCGAGAGGGUCUUGGCUAAUCUUUGGAACCGGCGCCGUGCUUGGGAUUGACCAUUGCAAUUGUUGGUCAUGCAACGAGGAAUGCCUUGUAAACGCGAGUCAUCAGCUCGCAUUGAAUACGUCCCUGCCCCUUGUACACACCGCCC
rnacentral:rRNA from 1 species